rnacentral:tRNA from 1 species
GCCCGGGUGGCGAAACUGGUAGACGCAAGGGACUUAAAAUCCCUCGGGGGAGACCUCGUGCCGGUUCGAGUCCGGCCCCGGGCACCA